AUUGAACGCUGGCGGCAGGCCUAACACAUGCAAGUCGAGCGGUAGAGAGAAGCUUGCUUCUCUUGAGAGCGGCGGACGGGUGAGUAAUGCCUAGGAAUCUGCCUGAUAGUGGGGGAUAACGUCCGGAAACGGACGCUAAUACCGCAUACGUCCUACGGGAGAAAGGGGGGGCGCUUCAGACCUCACGCUAUCAGAUGAGCCUAGGUCGGAUUAGCUAGGUGGUGGGGUAAAGGCUCACCAAGGCGACGAUCCGUAACUGGUCUGAGAGGAUGAUCAGUCACACUGGAACUGAGACACGGUCCAGACUCCUACGGGAGGCAGCAGUGGGGAAUAUUGGACAAUGGGCGAAAGCCUGAUCCAGCCAUGCCGCGUGUGCGAAGAAGGUCUUCGGAUUGUAAAGCACUUUAAGUUGGGAGGAAGGGUCGUUACCUAAUACGUGACGAUUUUGACGUUACCGACAGAAUAAGCACCGGCUAACUUCGUGCCAGCAGCCGCCGUAACAC
rnacentral:rRNA from 1 species